rnacentral:rRNA from 1 species
ACCAGACUCCUACGGGAGGCAGCAGUGGGGGAUAUUGCACAAUGGGGGGAACCCUGAUGCAGCGACGCCGCGUGGGUGAAGAAGCGCCUCGGCGCGUAAAGCCCUGUCAGCAGGGAAGAAAAUGACGGUACCUGAAGAAGAAGCCCCGGCUAACUACGUGCCAGCAGCCGCGGUAAUACGUAGGGGGCAAGCGUUAUCCGGAUUUACUGGGUGUAAAGGAGGCGCAGACGGCGAUGCAAGCCAGGAGUGAAAGCCCGGGGCCCAACCCCGGGACUGCUCUUGGAACUGCGUGGCUGGAGUGCAGGAGGGGCAGGCGGAAUUCCUGGUGUAGCGGUGAAAUGCGUAGAUAUCAGGAGGAACACCGGUGGCGAAGGCGGCCUGCUGGACUGCAACUGACGUUGAGGCCCGAAAGCGUGGGGAGCAAACAGGAUUAGAUACCCCGGUA